CCUACGGGGUGCAGCAGUGGGGGAUAUUGGACAAUGGGGGGAACCCUGAUCCAGCGACGCCGCGUGAGUGAAGAAGUAUUUCGGUAUGUAAAGCUCUGUCAGCAGGGAAGUAAGAAAUGACGGUACCUGACCAAGAAGCCCCGGCUAACUACGUGCCAGCAGCGGCGGUAAUACGUAGGCGGCAAGCGUUAUCCGGAUUUACUGGGUGUAAAGGGAGCGUAGAAGGCAGCACAAGUCUGGAGUGAAAUGCCGGGGCUUAACCCCGAAACUGGUUUGGAAACUGUGCAGCUAGAGUGCAGGAGAGGUAAGUGGAAUUCCUAGGGUAGCGGUGAAAUGCUUAGAUAUUAGGAGGAACACCAAUAGCGAAGGCAGCUUACUGGACUGUAACUGACGUUGAGGCUCGAAAGCGUGGGGAGCAAACAGGAUUAGAUACCCUUGUAGUC
rnacentral:rRNA from 1 species